UUUAGAUUAAAUCUAAAGAUAUGUGAGUUUAAUUUUAUGUGUUCUUAGGAUUUGUUGUGUAGAGCUUGCUAAACACUCUCCAAGUGUUGGAUUUACAUUUGGUGGAAUUUUUGUGACGUAUUGCAAGGUGAUGUCUAGGAAACCUAGUGCUUAAUAUCCGUGCAGCCAGACAUUAAUGCUUUGGUUGCAGGUUUUGCGGAUAUAGAUAUUGACUCAUCCACCUAGUGUAUGGG